rnacentral:tRNA from 1 species
GUAGGGUGGCCGAGCAGGAUGGCGGGCCGUAAACCCGCUUACGGGGCCGAUGGCCCCCCCUCCCAA